rnacentral:snRNA from 1 species
AUUGCUUCUCAGCCUUUUGGCUAAGAUCAAGUGUAAUAAUUAUUAGUUUAUGUUCUCUUUUCUACCCAAAGAAUAUAUGGUGUAUUUAGUUGUCAUUGUGUAUUUUGUAACUUUUUUUUUUUUUCUUUUGGUACCAGGGAUCAAACUCGGGUCCUUCUGCCUGUGCAGCAGGCAGCAGAACCACUGAGC